rnacentral:rRNA from 1 species
GUGGGGAAUCUUGCACAAUGGAGGAAACUCUGAUGCAGCGACGCCGCGUGAGCGAUGAAGCCCUUCGGGGUGUAAAGCUCUUUCGACGGGAACGAUAAUGACGGUACCCGAAGAAGAAGCUGCGGCUAACUACGUGCCAGCAGCCGCGGUAAUACGUAGGCAGCAAGCGUUGUUCGGAAUUACUGGGCGUAAAGAGUGUGUAGGCGGUGUUCUAAGUUUGUCGUGAAAUCUCCCGGCUUAACUGGGAGGGUGCGGCGAAAACUGGAAUGCUAGAGGAUGGGAGAGGUAAGCGGAAUUCCUGGUGUAGCGGUGAAAUGCGUAGAUAUCAGGAGGAACACCUGUGGUGUAGACAGCUUACUGGACCAUUUCUGACGCUGAGACACGAAAGCGUGGGUAGCAAACAGGAUUAGAAACCCCGGUAGUCCC